GGGCGGUUAGCUCAGCUGGGAGAGCAUCGGCCUUACAAGCCGAGGGUCACAAGUUCAAUCCUUGUACCGCCCACCA
rnacentral:tRNA from 1 species